rnacentral:misc_RNA from 1 species
CGCCAUCACUAUCUUCCCCAUCGCUGGAUGAUAUCAGGGUCCCAGCGGUGCCCUCAUCGAUACCCCAAUCAUCAAGUAGCGAUAUGUUAAAUGUAUCCUCAUCAAGGGCCCUAACUUGAAAAAUCCUAUUUCGCAAUCGAUAACCACGCCGCUUUCUAACGUUUGAUAUAUUUAACUUGAAACCGUGAAAUAGAUUAGCGGUAAAAGGAGAAAAGGGCUUCCGAUAUC